rnacentral:rRNA from 1 species
GAUGAACGCUGGCGGCGUGCCUAAUGCAUGCAAGUCGAGCGACGCAUACCGGAGGGGUAACCCACUGGUAUGACGGAGCGGCGAACGGGUGAGUAACACGUGAGCAACCUACCGUUCAGAUCGGGAUAGCCCAGGGAAACCUGGAUUAAUACCGGAUACCCUCGGAGUUCCGCAUGGUUUUUCGAGGAAAGCUCAGGCGCUGAAGGAUGGGCUCGCGGCCUAUCAGCUAGUUGGUGGGGUAACGGCCCACCAAGGCAUCGACGGUAGCUGGUCUGAGAGGACGAUCAGCCACACUGGGACUGAGACACGGCCCAGACUCCUACGGGAGGCAGCAGCAGGGAAUCUUGCGCAAUGGGCGAAAGCCUGACGCAGCAACGCCGCGUGGGGGCAUGAAGGCCUCGGGUUGUAAACCCCUUUCAGGAGGGAAGAAAUUGACGGUACCUCCAGAAGAAGCACCGGCCAACUACGUGCCAGCAGCCGCGGUAAUACGUAGGGUGCGAGCGUUAUCCGGAAUCAUUGGGCGUAAAGAGCUCGUAGGCGGUUCAACAAGUCGGCUGUGAAAGUCCGGGGCUCAACCCCGGAAUUGCAGUCGAUACUGUUGUGACUCGAGUCCGGUAGAGGGGAAUGGAAUUCCCGGUGUAGCGGUGGAAUGCGCAGAUAUCGGGAGGAACACCAGUAGCGAAGGCGGUUCUCUGGGCCGGCAACUGACCUGAGGAGCGGAAGCGUGGGGAGC